CCUGGCGAUUGUAGUGGAGUGGAACUACCUGACUCCAUCCCGAACUCAGAAGUAAAACACUCUAACGCCGAAAAUACUUAAACCGCAAGGCUUUGGGAAGAUAGGUUAUUGCCAGGA
rnacentral:rRNA from 1 species